rnacentral:lncRNA from 1 species
ACACAUUUAAGCUAUCAAGUGUUAUUGUUGGCACCUAUUAUUUAUGUAAAUCAAAAGAAAUAGGUUCUUAAUAUCGAAGACUUUAUAAACCACUUGUCUAUUUGCCACAUGCUAACAUAGUUGGGACUAGCUCAGAGAGCAAUUACUAUUAUCCUAUGAUAAUACUCAAUUCAUAAGACCAAGUGUUUAAGUAUUAAAAAGAUAACACACACAUACAUACAGAAAAAGAC